AUUGAACGCUGGCGGCAUGCCUUACACAUGCAAGUCGAACGGUAACAGGUCUUCGGAUGCUGACGAGUGGCGAACGGGUGAGUAAUACAUCGGAACGUGCCUAGUAGUGGGGGAUAACUACUCGAAAGAGUGGCUAAUACCGCAUGCGAUCUACGGAUGAAAGCAGGGGAUCGCAAGACCUUGUGCUACUAGAGCGGCCGAUGGCAGAUUAGGUAGUUGGUGGGAUAAAAGCUUACCAAGCCGACGAUCUGUAGCUGGUCUGAGAGGACGAUCAGCCACACUGGGACUGAGACACGGCCCAGACUCCUACGGGAGGCAGCAGUGGGGAAUUUUGGACAAUGGGCGCAAGCCUGAUCCAGCAAUGCCGCGCGCAGGAUGAAGGCCUUCGGGUUGUAAACUGCUUUUGUACGGAACGAAAAGCCCUGGGUUAAUACCCUGGGGUCAUGACGGUACCGUAAGAAUAAGCACCGGCUAACUACGUGCCAGCAGCCGCCGUAAGAC
rnacentral:rRNA from 1 species